GAUGUAUAAUGUCUUAGAUUUCUUUUGGCCCUUUGAGGCUGUUGCUGCUGGAGUCCAGGAUCAGAACUGUGCUGAUCUGAUUGGGUUAUCCAGCUGAGUGCUCCCGCAGGAGAGAUCAUUCCCUGCAGCACUGGGAGAAGUUGCACCAUUACUUUCCUCACACACCCUGGUGCCUAGGCGUGAUUUGUGGAUCUUUUUAUCCUGGGAGACAUCCGGCCAGUACAA